UGGCUCAGUUUCCUGGGGGGUGAGCUCAGCCUCCCCCACCUCCCCUCAGCUGAGCCUAGAGGAGACAGGCCAGGCACCUGCCCCCUGGAGAGGCGUUUAAGUAAGGAGCCUCGCCUGGCUGCCCUGGCCUCACAUUU
rnacentral:snoRNA from 14 species